GCUGAAGAAGUAGAGUUUUAUUUCUUAUUCUGGGUAUACAUCCAAAAUAAUUGAAAUUAGGAUCUUGAAGAGCUCACUGCAUUCCCUUAUUUGUUACAGCAUUAUUCACAAUAGCAAGAUGUGGGAACAACUCAAGUGUUAAUCAACAGAUGAGUGGAUAAAGAAAAUGUGCUAUACAUGUACAGUGUGAUAUUAUUCAGCUUUACAAAGGAAGGAAAUCCUGCCAUUUAUGGACAAUGUGGAUGAACCUGGAGGACAUUAUGCUAAGCAAAAUAAGCCAGUACCAAAGGUCAAGUACUGCAUGAUUCCACUUGUAUGAGAGAUCUUUAUAGUCAACAUCAUAGAAGUAGUGAGUGCAAUAGGGCUUGCCAGGGGCUGCAAUGUUAUUCAUCAGGUAUGCUAGAUGAAUAUGUUCUAGAGAUCUGCUGUACAACGUUGUACCUAUAGUAAACAAUACAGUAUGGUGUAUUUCAACAUUUGUUAAGAGAGUAGGUCUCAAUUUAAGUGUUCUUACGACAAAAAUAAACAAAAAACACAAAAACGAGACACAAAGAAACUAUGGGGGCUGGGUGCAGUGGCUCACACCUGUAAGCCCAGCACUUUGGGAGGAUGAAGCGGAUAGAUUACCUUAGGUCAGGAGUUCGGGACCAACCUGGCCAAAUCUGUCUCUAUUAAAAAUACAAAAAAAUUAGCCGGGCACGGUGGCAUGCACCUGUAGUCCCAGGUACUCAGGAGGCUGAGGCAGGAGAAUAGCUUCAACUAGGAGUUGGAGGCUGCAGUGAGCUGAGAUCACGCCACUGCACUCCAGCCUGGGUGACAGUGAGACUCUGUCUCAAAACAAACCUUUUGUACUGUUUUGAAAUAAGCAUACACUUGCAGACACAUGUUUCUACAACAUUCUUUGCUUUCCCAAUAGGCAAGUUCAAACUCAGAAGGCGAAAGUCCAGCGGAAAGUACCGGAACUGAGGGAAAACUAUUUGCCUAACCACCCACACCACUGAAUGCUUUCUUGGAAUCUGCUGUGUGUUUAAGAUGAUAUCCUACCCACACACAUGUAACCUUUACCUUUUUGCAAACCAAAUCUGAUUCUACAAGGAAAGCACAAAAAUAAAAAUAUUUUUCUCUCAAAUUAUAUCAGAUUUGUUUCUGCUCAAAUUAUCUCAGACUAGUUUUAAAAAUUGUAAACUCUCCCAU
rnacentral:lncRNA from 10 species